UAUGAGAGUUUGAUCCUGGCUCAGGACGAACGCUGGCGGCGUGCCUAAUACAUGCAAGUCGUACGCUUCUUUUUCCACCGGAGCUUGCUCCACCGGAAAAAGAAGAGUGGCGAACGGGUGAGUAACACGUGGGUAACCUGCCCAUCAGAAGGGGAUAACACUUGGAAACAGGUGCUAAUACCGUAUAACAAUCGAAACCGCAUGGUUUUGAUUUGAAAGGCGCUUUCGGGUGUCGCUGAUGGAUGGACCCGCGGUGCAUUAGCUAGUUGGUGAGGUAACGGCUCACCAAGGCCACGAUGCAUAGCCGACCUGAGAGGGUGAUCGGCCACAUUGGGACUGAGACACGGCCCAAACUCCUACGGGAGGCAGCAGUAGGGAAUCUUCGGCAAUGGACGAAAGUCUGACCGAGCAACGCCGCGUGAGUGAAGAAGGUUUUCGGAUCGUAAAACUCUGUUGUUAGAGAAGAACAAGGAUGAGAGUAACUGUUCAUCCCUUGACGGUAUCUAACCAGAAAGCCACGGCUAACUACGUGCCAGCAGCCGCGGUAAUACGUAGGUGGCAAGCGUUGUCCGGAUUUAUUGGGCGUAAAGCGAGCGCAGGCGGUUUCUUAAGUCUGAUGUGAAAGCCCCCGGCUCAACCGGGGAGGGUCAUUGGAAACUGGGAGACUUGAGUGCAGAAGAGGAGAGUGGAAUUCCAUGUGUAGCGGUGAAAUGCGUAGAUAUAUGGAGGAACACCAGUGGCGAAGGCGGCUCUCUGGUCUGUAACUGACGCUGAGGCUCGAAAGCGUGGGGAGCAAACAGGAUUAGAUACCCUGGUAGUCCACGCCGUAAACGAUGAGUGCUAAGUGUUGGAGGGUUUCCGCCCUUCAGUGCUGCAGCUAACGCAUUAAGCACUCCGCCUGGGGAGUACGACCGCAAGGUUGAAACUCAAAGGAAUUGACGGGGGCCCGCACAAGCGGUGGAGCAUGUGGUUUAAUUCGAAGCAACGCGAAGAACCUUACCAGGUCUUGACAUCCUUUGACCACUCUAGAGAUAGAGCUUCCCCUUCGGGGGCAAAGUGACAGGUGGUGCAUGGUUGUCGUCAGCUCGUGUCGUGAGAUGUUGGGUUAAGUCCCGCAACGAGCGCAACCCUUAUUGUUAGUUGCCAUCAUUCAGUUGGGCACUCUAGCAAGACUGCCGGUGACAAACCGGAGGAAGGUGGGGAUGACGUCAAAUCAUCAUGCCCCUUAUGACCUGGGCUACACACGUGCUACAAUGGGAAGUACAACGAGUCGCGAAGUCGCGAGGCUAAGCUAAUCUCUUAAAGCUUCUCUCAGUUCGGAUUGUAGGCUGCAACUCGCCUACAUGAAGCCGGAAUCGCUAGUAAUCGCGGAUCAGCACGCCGCGGUGAAUACGUUCCCGGGCCUUGUACACACCGCCCGUCACACCACGAGAGUUUGUAACACCCGAAGUCGGUGAGGUAACCUUUUGGAGCCAGCCGCCUAAGGUGGGAUAGAUGAUUGGGGUGAAGUCGUAACAAGGUAGCCGUAUCGGAAGGUGCGGCUGGAUCACCUCCUUUCUAAGGAA
rnacentral:rRNA from 4 species